AGUAGGGAAUAUUGGUCAAUGGGCGGGAGCCUGAACCAGCCAUGCCGCGUGCAGGAAGACGGCCUUCUGGGUUGUAAACUGCUUUUUUCAGGGAAGAAAACGCCCAUGCGUGGGAGAUUGACGGUACCUGAAGAAUAAGCACCGGCUAACUCCGUGCCAGCAGCCGCGGUAAUACGGAGGGUGCAAGCGUUGUCCGGAUUUAUUGGGUUUAAAGGGUGCGUAGGCGGCUUUUUAAGUCAGUGGUGAAAUGCGGCAGCUCAACUGCCGGAGUGCCAUUGAUACUGAAAAGCUUGAGUAUAGAUGAGGCAGGCGGAAUUUAUGGUGUAGCGGUGAAAUGCAUAGAUACCAUAAAGAACACCGAUAGCGUAGGCAGCUUGCUAAACUAUAACUGACGCUGAGGCACGAAAGCAUGGGUAGCGAACAGGAUUAGAUACCCUGGUAGUCCAUGCCGUAAACGAUGAUUACUCGAUGUGUGCGAUACACAGUACGCGUCCAA
rnacentral:rRNA from 1 species